rnacentral:sRNA from 1 species
AGUGAAACUAUGGAUGACAACCCACAUCACCAUGUACAUGGGUGAUUUAUUUUGGGUAUUAAUAGCUCAAAAAUCAUAUUUUAAUUGAUCAAACUAUGAAUUUGGGCCUGAUUUGUAUCAGUGAACUGAUAUCUUUGAUACUCAGUAUCAGGUGACGUGACAGCAUACGGUUGGUCAGUAUUUUCACUCAAAUCAGAAGAAAUUUUUUUUUUUAGUAAUCUUAUGUUUUACUAUAUUAAUUUCUGAUUUUGUA